GGCAUAUGCCUUGCUACAACCCUGCAAACCCUGGCCAACGGCGGCCGGGCUGCAAGGACAAAGACGUCGU
ncrna:Pseudomonas fuscovaginae TPB0736 narK RNA